CAUACGAAGAGUGCAGAUGGAUCAAUACGGUCGACAGAAGUUUUAACUAUCUGGAGUGCGGAUAAAUUUUUACUGAGAGUCGUAUAGGAAUCUAUAAUCUAGUACUUUCCAAAAUACGCCGAGAGUAUUCCUGAUGGUGAAACGAGCGUUGCUUCAUCGAACACAGCUAAAGAAAACAACAUCUAUGUAGUUGGUGGUACGAUGCCUGAAAUAGAGGGCGCUAAAUUGUACAAUACCUGUACUAUUUGGGGUCCCGAUGGAACUUUGAUAGCAAAACACCGAAAGGUACAUCUAUUCGACAUCGACAUUCCUAAUAAGAUUACUUUUCGAGAGAGUGAUUCACUCAGUCCUGGUAACUCCCUAACGACGUUCGAUGUGAAGGGCUGCAAAAUAGGUAUUGGCAUUUGCUAUGAUAUUAGAUUCGAGGAAAUGGCACGCAUUUAUCGGAAC